UACAGAGGCCCCCAAGCGUUAGCCGGAAUUAUUGGGCGUAAAGGGUCCGCAGGCGGAAUAGUAAGUCUUCUGUUAAAUCCUAUCGGCUCAACCGAGAGGCUGCAGUGGAUACUGCUAUUCUUGAGGCAAGGAGAGGUAAGCGGAAUUCCUAGUGGAGCGGUGAAAUGCGUUGAUAUUAGGGAGAACACCAAUUGCGAAGGCAGCUUACUGGCCUUGUCCUGACGCUCAGGGACGACAGCGUGGGGAGUGAACGGGAUUAGAAACCCG
rnacentral:rRNA from 1 species